GUAGUCUGCAACCCGGCCUACAUGAAGCUGGAAUCGCUAGUAAUCGCGGAUCAGAAUGCCGCGGUGAAUACGUUCCCGGGUCUUGUACACACCGCCCGUCACACCAUGGGAGCCGGAAAUGCCCGAAGUCAGUGACCCAACCGCAAGGAGGGAGCUGCCGAAGGUGGAGCUGGUAACUGGGGUGAAGUCGUAACAAGGUAGC
rnacentral:rRNA from 1 species